rnacentral:rRNA from 1 species
UACAGAGGUCUCAAGCGUUAUCCGGAAUCACUGGGCGUAAAGCGUGCGUAGGUGGAUGUUUAAGUGUAAUGCGAAAUCCUGUGGCUCAACCAUAUGGACUGUAUUGCAUACUGGGCAUCUAGAGGAUGGUAGAGGCAAGUGGAACUGGCAGUGUAGCAGUGAAAUGCGUAGAUAUUGCCAAGAACACCAAUGGCGAAGGCAGCUUGCUGGGCCACACCUGACACUAAGGCACGAAAGCGUGGGGGAGCAAACAGG